UCUCUCCCCCUGCCUCAUCUCACCCGCGCCCAAUCCACCACCGACCACCACCGCCCCCGUGCUCGCCGUCCCGGGCCGUGCUCGCUGCCCCCCCGUGCUCGCCGUCCCCGAGCCGAGCGCUGCCUCCCUCGCCGUCCCCCCUCCGCCCGCGGCCGGGUUCGCCACCUCGCGUUCGGCCUCCCUCGCACUCUGCGGCUUCCUCAUCUUCCUCAACGUCUUCACCUUCCUCCUCACCGUCGGUGCCGAGCAGCGAUGCAACACCGUACGCCCCCCCGCACCGCCGCCCCGCGCCCCCGCGCCCCGAGCUGGAGGAGGAGGACCAGGAGGAGGACUAGGAGGAGGAGGAGACGACCGCCGCCGUCCGCGCGCUGCUCUGCCAGGCCAUGCGACGCCGCCGUCCGCCCUCAACUGCAGGACCGGUGCCGGAGUCUGAGUUGAGCGCUUUCUGCGAAGGUUUCGGAGAGCCGGAUUGCCUAUUUGGGUGUUCUUCAAGGUUGAGCUCAGAGAUGCCGUCGUAUGUCGUGCACAAGGGUAAGGUUCCCGGAGUCUACGACGACUAG